GCAGAAAGUUGCAGUUAAGAGUACAACCCUUCAUUUUGGUUAUUGGUCCGGGUAAGUUAUUUUGAAACACUAGACUAUUUAACUCUCCCACAUUUUUUUUCAAACUUCCUGCCCUGUUGUGCUAUUUAUCCUCGAGUAUACCUAUUAUCAAAAAAUAUACGUCACUUUGGGACACAUGCGCAUAGCCGCUGCGCGUGGCUAAAAGUCAACAAAAAAAAAAAGAGCUCCUUGGCUUUAAAACACAUACACAACACUCAUGCACAAAGACAGCAACAACAACAACAUACACCCCCCCCCCCCCCAAAAAAAAACAAACGCACAAAAAAAAAUGUUUCCUUCUUCUCCAUCCAUCAGUCUCAGGCUAUCAUAUAUGGAUUGGAGUAUGUCCGUCAUCAACAAUUGACGAGAAUCAAGGACAUCGCAAAGUAGCUAGAAAUUUAGACAUAGGAAAUUGUAUUUACUUUAUUUAGAGUAGGAAACACUUUAUGUUGUAUUCACUUGAUAUGUAAUAAAUAUUAUAUUACUUU